rnacentral:rRNA from 1 species
AUUGAACGCUGGCGGCAUGCUUUACACAUGCAAGUCGAACGGUAACAGGCCUUCGGGUGCUGACGAGUGGCGAACGGGUGAGUAAUGCAUCGGAACGUGCCCAGAGGUGGGGGAUAACGCAGCGAAAGCUGUGCUAAUACCGCAUGUGAUCUGAGGAUGAAAGCGGGGGACCAAGCAGCAAUGUUUGGCCUCGCGCCUCUGGAGCGGCCGAUGUCAGAUUAGGUAGUUGGUGGGGUAAAGGCCUACCAAGCCGACGAUCUGUAGCUGGUCUGAGAGGACGACCAGCCACACUGGGACUGAGACACGGCCCAGACUCCUACGGGAGGCGGCAGUGGGGAAUUUUGGACAAUGGGCGCAAGCCUGAUCCAGCAAUGCCGCGUGCGGGAAGAAGGCCUUCGGGUUGUAAACCGCUUUUGUACGGAACGAAAAGGCUCUGGCUAAUACCUGGGGCUGAUGACGGUACCGUAAGAAUAAGCACCGGCUAACUACGUG